ensembl:snRNA U6 U6 spliceosomal RNA
GUCAACAAUUUUAGCUUGAGAUUUCAGUAUAGAUACAGAGAAAGAUUAGCAUGGCCCCUGGUGUAAGGAUGACACGCAAAUUUGUGAAGCGUUCCAUAUUUUU